rnacentral:rRNA from 1 species
GACGAACGCUGGCGGCGUGCUUAACACAUGCGAGUCGAACGAAGAGCGAUGGAAGCUUGCUUCUAUCAAUCUUAGUGGCGAACGGGUGAGUAACGCGUAAUCAACCUGCCCUUCAGAGGGGGACAACAGUUGGAAACGACUGCUAAUACCGCAUACGAUCUAAUCUCGGCAUCGAGGAUAGAUGAAAGGUGGCCUCUACAUGUAAGCUAUCACUGAAGGAGGGGAUUGCGUCUGAUUAGCUAGUUGGAGGGGUAACGGCCCACCAAGGCGAUGAUCAGUAGCCGGUCUGAGAGGAUGAACGGCCACAUUGGGACUGAGACACGGCCCAGACUCCUACGGGAGGCAGCAGUGGGGAAUCUUCCGCAAUGGACGAAAGUCUGACGGAGCAACGCCGCGUGAGCGAUGACGGCCUUCGGGUUGUAAAGCUCUGUUAAUCGGGACGAAAGGCCUUCUUGCGAAUAGUGAGAAGGAUUGACGGUACCGGAAUAGAAAGCCACGGCUAACUACGUG